CGCGUAGGUGGUUUGAUAAGCGAGAUGUGAAAGCCCCGGGCUUAACCUGGGAACGGCAUUUCGAACUGUCAGGCUAGAGUAUGGUAGAGGAGUGUGGAAUUUCCUGUGUAGCGGUGAAAUGCGUAGAUAUAGGAAGGAGCACCAGUGGCGAAGGCGGCACUCUGGACCAAUACUGACACUGAGGUGCGAAAGCGUGGGGAGCAAACA
rnacentral:rRNA from 1 species